rnacentral:lncRNA from 1 species
CUCGUGCCUCAGCUUCCCGAGUACCUGGGACCACAGGCAUGUGCCACCACACCCAGCUAAUUUUGUAUUUUUAGUAGAGAUGGGGUUUCAUCAUGUUGGCCAUGUUGGCCAAGCUGGUCUUGAACUCCUGACCCCAGACAAUCUGCCCACCUCGGCCUCCCAAAGUGCUGGGAUUAUAGGCGUGAGCCACCACGCCCAGUCCUAACUCAUUUUGCAGAGUCAGACCUUUGCCAGCGGAUUCACUCUCAUUUAGCAGAGGGAAGUCUCUGUUUGUCCUCUUCUCUCCAGGUUCCCUGCCUCGGCUCCUGUGUGAGCUUCCAAGGGCUGGUCUCAGGGGUGAGAAUCAAAAUGUCUAACCACAGGCCCUGACUCAUCAGCCCAGAUGCCUGCUGUAAACAACCAGAGCUUUUUCCAGGCAAAUGUUGACCUAGCUGGUCUCACACAGGGCAGCAUCAGCACUUCCAAGAAGUUCUCCCAGGGGCAUUGUGCUUGGAGACAGUUUCUGUGUGAGCCUGUGAACAGCCAGUGGUGCUUAAAAUCAUGGGCCUCUG